UAAUUCGUUAUUUGUAAGUCAAACUUCUGUGGGAAAUAAAAGUUAACAAAGUCGCAGUUGAUUGAAGGAAGCUUCUCAUCACCACACACGAAAGAAGUGGAACAGAAACCCCCGUUUGCAGAAGAUCUAGUCUUGUUGGGAGAAACAGAGCAGAGAAGAAGACAACAUAAGAUGGCCGAGGUUGCUGUGUCAACGGUCGUUACCAAGCUGACGGAGCUGCUGGUGGAACAAGCAGCAGUGGCGGCGGUGUCGGUUUCACAGCUGGCAGGGGUGAGAGAGCAAGUGGAGAACCUGAAGAACGAAUUGGGGUGGAUGCAGAGCUUUCUGAGGGACGCAGAUGCAAAACAAGAAGGCAACGACCGCGUUCGCAUGUGGGUGUCGGAAAUCCGAGACGUGGCUUUCGAAGCAGAGGAGCUCAUAGAAACCUACGUGUACAAGACCACCAUGCAGAGCAGCUUAGACAAGGUGUUCAGACCCUUUCAUCUCUACAAGGUGAGGACCAGAAUCGACAAGAUCCUGUCCAAGAUCAAGAGCAUAUCCGACCGGCGCGAAACAUACGGCGUCGUUGUAAUGACCCGUGAUGAUGGCAACAACAGUAACGAAAGGUUGAGGCACUGGAGACAGCCUUCUCCUUAUUCUGAAGAGGAGUAUGUUAUUGAGCUUGAGGAUGACAUGCGGCUGCUUUUUACCCAGUUGCUUGCAGUGGAGCCAACGCCUCAUGUGGUUUCUAUUGUUGGUAUGGGUGGUUUGGGGAAAACCACUUUGGCUAAGAAGCUCUACAAUCACACCAGAAUCACCAACCAUUUUGAGUGCAAAGCGUGGGUGUAUGUAUCUAAGGAGUAUAGGAGGAGGGAUGUGUUGCAAGGGAUUCUCAGGGAUGUGGAUGCUCUCACCAGAGAUGAAAUGGAGAAAAUACCCGAGGAAGAGUUGGUCAACAAGCUCCGCAAUGUGUUGAGUGAGAAACGGUAUUUGGUGGUGCUUGAUGACAUAUGGGGCAUGGAGGUUUGGGAUGGUUUAAAAUCUGCAUUUCCCAGAGGGAAGAUGGGAAGUAAGAUAUUGCUCACCACAAGGAAUGGGGAUGUUGCUUUACAUGCUGAUGCUUGUAGCAAUCCUCAUCAGUUGAGGACUUUGACAGAAGAUGAGAGUUUCAGAUUGCUCUGCAACAAAGCGUUCCCCGGAGCGAACGGCAUCCCGUUAGAGUUGGUUCAGUUGAAGAGUCUUGCAAAGGAGAUUGUGGUUAAAUGUGGAGGUUUGCCUUUGGCUGUGGUAGUGGUUGGUGGUUUGCUGUCUAGGAAACUCAAGUCAAGUGGGGAAUGGAAGCGGGUGCUGCAAAAUAUCAGCUGGCACUUGCUAGAAGAGCAAGAGAAGAUAGCUAGAAUUUUGGCCCUUAGCUACAAUGAUCUGCCUCCUCAUUUGAAGUCUUGCUUUCUAUAUUUGGGUCUUUUCCCAGAGGGUGUGAACAUUCAGACGAAAAAAUUGAUCAGACUAUGGGUGGCGGAGGGAUUUCUACUGCAAGAAGGAGAAGAAACUGCAGAAGGUGUUGCUCAGAAAUACUUGAAUGAAUUGAUUGGUAGGUGCAUGAUUCAAGUGGGAACAGUAAGCUCAUUAGGAAGAGUCAAAACAAUUCGCAUCCACCAUCUUCUUAGAGAUCUUUCACUCUCUAAAGGAAAAGAAGAAUAUUUUCUCAAAAUAUUUCAGGGUGAUGUGGCAGGUCAAUCGACUAAAGCCCGGCGCCAUUCCAUGCAUUCUUGCCAUGACAGGUAUGACUCCUUAAAACACAAUGCUGGUCAUUCACGUUCCCUGCUGUUCUUCAACAGAGAAUAUAAUGAUAUAGUGAGGAAACUCUGGCAUCCUUUGAAUUUUCAGCAAGAAAAGAAAUUGAAUUUCAUCUACAGGAAAUUUAAGCUGCUCAGGGUAUUAGAAUUAGAUGGUGUUCGGGUAGUUAGCCUGCCAAGUUUGAUAGGGGACUUGAUUCAAUUGAGGUAUCUAGGAUUGAGGAAGACUAAUCUAGAAAAAAAACUUCCACCUUCCAUUGGAAACUUGCAAAACCUACAGACACUUGAUUUAAGGUAUUGUUGUUUUUUGAUGAAAAUACCAAACGUAAUUUGGAAGAUGGUGAACUUGAGACAUCUCCUCCUGUACACUCCAUUUGAUUCUCCAGAUAGCAGCCAUCUACGGAUGGAUACAUUAACCAAUCUACAAACCCUACCGCACAUUGAGGCUGGAAACUGGAUAGUAGAUGGUGGUUUAGCGAAUAUGAUCAACCUCAGGCAAUUGGGGAUUUGUGAAUUAUCAGGACAAAUGGUGAAUUCUGUUCUUUCUACUGUACAAGGAUUACACAACCUCCAUUCACUGUCACUAUCACUUCAAUCUGAAGAGGAUGAAUUUCCAAUCUUUAUGCAGCUGUCUCAGUGCACUCAUCUUCAGAAACUCUCUUUAAAUGGAAAGAUCAAGAAGCUACCUGAUCCACACGAAUUCCCACCAAACCUCUUAAAACUAACUCUGCAUAACUCCCACCUACAGAAGGAGUCUAUUGCCAAACUGGAGAGAUUGCCAAACCUUAAAGUGCUCAUUUUGGGUAAAGGGGCAUACAAUUGGCCGGAACUGAACUUCAAUGGUGAAGGGUUUCCACAACUGCAUAUUUUGCGACUUGUUCUUUUGAAAGAAUUGGAGGAGUGGACAGUUGAGGAAAAUGCAAUGCCAAGGCUUGAGAACAUGGUUAUUGACCGCUGUGAGAAGCUGAAAAAGAUUCCAGAAGGACUGAAAGCUAUCACUUCUCUGAAGAAAUUAAAAAUUAUAGGAAUGCCAGUAGAAUUUGAACAUAAACUUCGGACUAAAGAUUUGUUCGACUUCACAAAUACUCCAGUAAUUGAAUCAACUACAGACAUUUUGGCAAUUGAUUAGUUUCUGGCACAAUGUUAGUGGGUGGCACAUGCCUUCAGCUAUGGAAUGGAAGCAUUUUCAAGUAUUGGCACUCCAAUUUUCAGCAUGCCUGCUUUAGUUUAUUGUUGACAAUAUACAUACUGCUUGAUGAAGUGACAAGCACUGAUAACUUUUUCCACUUCUAUGCACCCAGGAUGUUACUCCCUUUCAUCCUUUGGGAAUGGCUUCCAAUAACUAAUUGUGAAUGCCAUUAGAUGUGGAACUUGUGUGAGCAGUACAUAGAGCAUUUCUCUGAGAUUGAACAGCUAUGCCAAAUUCAACAGAAACCUUUUGCUCACAAAAGGAUAUCUCAAUUACAGCAAGUGUUGGUGCAGUAUAAAGAAUUUCAUUGUUAUGUAAUGCAACCUUCUCGCAGUAACUACAGAAAAAACUUGUCAUUAUUAAUCUCAGUAAUCAAGUAAGUUCUGUACCUCAUUCCGUUUUGACAUUUGCAUCAACCUUCUCGCCCAUGAACGGGCAUAAUGCAUUAUUCUGUUUUGCACCUCCAUUCAUUGUUCUACCUCAGACUAUAAAAAGCCUGAAACAAGGUAACUUCUUUUUCUUCAUAAAAAAAGGAAAAGGCAGCACCUUCUAUUGCACUAGAUUUUUUGGUUUUCCUUCUUUUGCAUUAGAUUAUUAGUGUGAUUAGAUUAAGUUCAUGCUGAGAAAUAAUCAAUUAUGUUUUCACGGUGAGCACGCUAGUACCUAUUUUUGUUUUU